UUAAUGCCUACUUUAUGAUUCUGCUUUCUUUAACGCUCACUGACUUCUUAUCUAACAGACAUUUCAUCUCUUAAUGUUUGCCAACCCCCGAUGCAUGUGUGUCCUUUUAUCAACCACAAGGACAUUCCACCAUAUCUCCUCUUUACCAGCCAUGGCAUGUCUUCUUCCUUCCUUCAUUUGUUUUUGCUCUGUUUCCCCCCCUUUCACCCCUCCAUGUUAUAUCCGCUCCCACAUUUCCUUCUUGUUUUAUAUCUGGGUCCCUUAUUCCCUCCUAUUGUGUGC